rnacentral:rRNA from 1 species
CCUACGGGAGGCAGCAGUGAGGAAUAUUGGUCAAUGGGCUUACGCCUGAACCAGCCAAGUCGCGUGAGGGAAGACUGCCCUAUGGGUUGUAAACCUCUGUUGUCAGGGAGCAACGCCGGCUACGUGUAGCCGGACGGAGAGUACCUGAAGAAAAAGCAUCGGCUAACUCCGAGCCAGCAGCCGCGGUAAUACGGAGGAGGCGAGCGUUAUCCGGAUUUAUGGGGGUGAAAGGGUGCGUAGGCGGAAUGCCAAGUCAGCGGUAAAAGCGCGGGGCUCAACCUCGCUCCGCCGUUGAAACGGGCGUUCUUGCGUGGGCGAGCCGUCUGCGGACUGCGUGGUGUCGCGGUGCCAUGC